rnacentral:snRNA from 1 species
GGAUGUGAGAGCCAUCUGGCUGUGAUAUCUGUCACCCCAUUGUUCAGCAGGGUCGAUUCAGCUGAACUGGCUGACUAGGCGGGUGUCCCCUUCCUCCCACACCACUCUAUGUGCCUUCCUUACAAGGCUGCGACUUGGUGGGAGAGCAUGGCCACCCCUGAUAGAGGAUUGUUCUGCUGUCAAGGGUGAACAAGUAUCUGCAUUCUCCUGCUAGAACCUCCAAAGAAGCUCUCAAAAAUUCUCUUUUACUGUUGUACAUAUACUGUAUCUUUACAUUUUAAGUCUAAACAAUUA